GCCCAAGAAGGCGAAGAAGAAGGGGAGGACGCCGCCGCCGGAGGAGGAGAUGGAGGCCUUCUUUGCCGCGGCGGAGAGCGGCGUGGCGCGGAGCUUCGCGGCCAAGUACAACUAUGACGUCGUCAAAGACGCUCCCAUGGAUGGGCGGUACGAGUGGGUCCGGGUAAGGCUGUAGGAUGCCGCAACAGCCAGUCAAAUGCCAGAGGCACCCUUUUAAUCAUUCUUUUGUACGUAGCUACCAUGUGGUGCUUUAGCUGUAAUUAUGCUUACCAGACGCCUAAUCAUGUGUAAAAGCUCACCGUGUAAGUCAGUGGAUGUUUCACUUGUAACUUCCUUUUCUAGGUGUGGAAUUCAGUUGUAACUUAGUGGUACUACGUGCUUUAACUCCUUGUCGACUUGUCGUAUGUUGGUCUCAUGAAAGAAAGAGUACAAAAUGUGUCGUUUACUGUG